rnacentral:rRNA from 1 species
UGGGGAAUAUUGCACAAUGGGCGAAAGCCUGAUCCAGCCAUGCCGCGUGUGUGAAGAAGGUCUUCGGAUUGUAAAGCACUAUAAGUUGGGAGGAAGGGCAUUAACCUAAUACGUUAGUGUUUUGACGUUACCGACAGAAUAAGCACCGGCUAACUCUGUGCCAGCAGCCGCGGUAAUACAGAGGGUGCAAGCGUUAAUCGGAAUUACUGGGCGUAAAGCGCGCGUAGGUGGUUUGUUAAGUUGGAUGUGAAAUCCCCGGGCUCAACCUGGGAACUGCAUUCAAAACUGACUGACUAGAGUAUGGUAGAGGGUGGUGGAAUUUCCUGUGUAGCGGUGAAAUGCGUAGAUAUAGGAAGGAACACCAGUGGCGAAGGCGACCACCUGGACUAAUACUGACACUGAGGUGCGAAAGCGUGGGGAGCAAACA